rnacentral:rRNA from 1 species
GACGAACGCUGGCGGCGUGCUUAACACAUGCAAGUCGAACGGAAAGGCCCUGCUUUUGUGGGGUGCUCGAGUGGCGAACGGGUGAGUAACACGUGAGUAACCUGCCCUUGACUUUGGGAUAACUUCAGGAAACUGGGGCGAAUACCGGAUAGGAGCUCCUGCUGCAUGGUGGGGGUUGGAAAGUUUCGGCGGUUGGGGAUGGACUCGCGGCUUAUCAGCUUGUUGGUGGGGUAGUGGCUUACCAAGGGUUUGACGGGUAGCCGGCCUGAGAGGGUGACCGGCCACAAUGGGACUGAGAUACGGCCCAGACUCCUACGGGAGGCAGCAGUGGGGAAUAUUGCACAAUGGGCGGAAGCCUGAUGCAGCAACGCCGCGUGCGGGAUGACGGCUUUCGGGGUGUAAACCGCUUUCGCCUGUGACGAAGCGUGAGUGACGGUAAUGGGUAAAGAAGCACCGGCUAACUACGUG